GAGGCGCUCUCCGGGCGCCUGGGGGGCUGAGUGGGGCCAGCUGCCACGGGGGCCUGUCGGCACGUGGGCCAGCAAACCGUGCUGCGCCUUGAAGGACGCCCUUCGGAACACCGUGUGCCGGUCGCUUGCUGCUGGGCUGUGAGGUCUUUACACGGACUAAAAAGUCACACUCGUCGAAUCACCGCUGACCCCAGGAAACGGAAAGUGGUAGAAGAGCCUGUGUCUGCUUGGAGACAGGGUCUGGCGGCCCGGCCUGGAAGGAGCCACGCGUCCAUCUGCCCAGGACGUGCGUGGAUGUACAGCGUGGCCAUUCUGCGUGGCUGCGGAGCUCCGCGGCGUAGGUGAAGCUCCCCGGAAACACCACUGACAGACGCUCCGUGUGGACAGCUCCGUGUCCUUGUCAGGGCCUCACGCCACCUGCUGAGUGGGGUUAGCGGUGACCUCUGCGCCUGGAGCGGCAGGGACGGCCGCCUCCUUGGAAACCGCCCUUGGUCCAGGCAAAGCAGGUGGACAGACGUUUGAGAGGCCCAGGAAGGGUGUCCGCACUCGCCCUCCCUCCUCUGUUGCUCCGGCCCUGUGCUCCCCAUCUCCGAAAACACCGAAUGAGCGCAGAGACAGACAGGUGAGGGCUCACCCCCCGCCCCCGCCCUCCUAGCUCUGCGCCCAGCGCGAGGCAGCAGACGCCUUGCUCCCCCGAUCCACUUUCACACUUUGGGAGCAGUUAGAGACCCCCAUGGACACGCGGUGGAGGGACAUUGGGAAAGAACCCCACGAUCCAUAAAACACCCCGCGGCCAGCAGGGGGGAGCGCGUCACCCCUGCAACGGUCCCAGCCCGCAGGCAGCCGCAGGGUGCAUCUGAGUCAGGCUCAGGGGCAAGGUCGGGGGAGGUCCUGUUAGAAGCAGGGGCCGUGGUGACAGCAGACACGGGCCUCUGUGUCUGGGGCGGGCCUCACGGAUGCCCUCCUGCUCCACAGGCAUCCACGGGCCAGGGGCUUCAGCCGCAGAGUCGCAGGGGCUCGGGGCUCACACUGGAAGUCUGGCACGGCUCCGUGCUGGAGAAGCCCGCGUCUGGUCUGCACGAGGCCGGCUCCCCGCCGGGGGCACUAGCUUUCUCGGUCUGCUCCGGUGGCCGACCGGAAUGACCGUGAGCACACACUUGGCAUGGCCAUGGCUGUGUGGGGAGAGGAGCCCCGGUGUCCUCUGGCCUGUGACGGCCUGGCCUCCUCCGGCAGCCCAGCCUGGGUCCCCGCACGAGGGCCCUCAGUCGCCCCACGCCCCCCGGGGCUGGACGCCAGCCCAACAGGUGCAGAGACCUCACCCACGGCUGGGCCCGGUCUGAGGCACGGAGCAGCUCAUGCGAUCUCCUGUUCUGCACAUCCGUCCGCUGGAAAGGUCUCCUGCGUCUCGUGAACGCAGCUGGGGAGGCUCAGGGCUGGUUUCCUGUUUGUGUAAUGGCUGGAGGCUGCCUCCCCAGCAGACGACCCGACAAGAAAUUCACCUGAGGCUCUGGUUAGGCCAACAGCGGGUGGGAGGAGCCGUUUGGCCCAAGGACUGCUCCGCGGAGAGCCCACGGCUGCGGAGAGCCCACGGCUGCGGAGAGCCCAUGGGCGGGGCUGCUGCAUGACCAUGCCUGCGGCCGUGAGGAUCUCGGGACCCACCGCCCGUUCCCGCCAUCAGGCACGCGUGACCUUGUCUCGGGGCUCCAGGCCUUCGCAAAGCCCAUGGCUGGGAUCCCCUCCCCGGGGUCGGGGGCGUCUUCCUCCGCUCGUGGGGAGCGGGGCGACAUGUUAUGUUCAUGCCAUUGGCGGCCAGCGCCCCGCACUUUGCACCGCCCCAAGCUUGCGCGGUCGCACUCUGGCAAAGGCUGCCGGGAGCCCCGUCCCUCCGCGGCACCCGGCCCCUUGUGUAACAAACGGGAGGCCCGCGUCGGGGUCUCGCGGGCUGGGGGUCCGCGCCAGCCAUCUGCACACUGCGCAGGCUGUGAGGGACAGACACCUCGCCGCAGGGAAGAAAACAGGGCCGCGCGAGGCCGGGCGCUGCGGUGGCGCAUCCCGCGUCGUCUUCCUUCCAAGCGCGUGGAUGUGCUCUCCCUGACCCCGGCUUCCCGGGACCCUCCUUCCCGCCGGGGCUUGCCGGGCCCUCCCGCCAUCAGCUCUCCUGCCGGCGGGGAGUCUGGGUCCACCGCGCGGUGCAGGCGGGGCUGGGGCCCAGACAAGGGGCCGAUGAUCCAGACAGUUCAGAAACAGACGAGCGAUCGCUGCCCACGGGCCCAGGACCCAAACAGAGGGUCGGGAGCCCGCCGCUCUCUGGAUUCCGCUUCCUUGACGGGUUUCUAGCUGCUCUCCGGGAGCAAAUGCUCCCUCCGUGCGCCGCGGGUGAGGCCCUGUCCCUGUGGCAGAAGGAGAGAGGAAGACAGAACUGUAUCGGGGCCAAGGCCGCAGGCGGGAGAACAUGGGGCCACAGAAGCCACGGCUCAGCCAGAUGGGGAGAGAUCCCAGGUCUGGACAACCCGGCGUCCUGCUGCCGCCGUGGCCCCCGCCGGCCCGAGACCCCGGCCCAGGGCAGGGAGGGGCUGCAGGCCUGUGAUCCCCUCAGAGUCUCGGGGAGCUGCAGGGUCGGCCCCGCCUUGCAAAGCCGGACACCCGGGGGUGAAUGACCCGCCCCUGGGCCCUGGACCCUGCCGGCACCUGGGAAGUGGAGACAGCUCUGGGGGGUGAACCUCAACCCAGUGAGGCUGCAGCGUGUCGAGGGGGAGAGACUGACCGCCGGCCGGCCCGGCCCUGACGGCCGCAGGAGCGGGACUGGCUCUGCCAGCGCACAGGAAGCGGGGCCCAUGUCUGCCCCCGGGUGCAGAGCCCUCACCCCGCAGGAGAGGAGCCAAGGAGACCACCUUGUUGGAGGAGUCGAAGCCACUCGAGGAUCUUGGUGGUAAAAAGCAGGGGACAUCUCACAACGGUGGACACAGCCCCACAGGGGUCACGUAAUCGCAGGAGGUUCAAGUUUCAGGAACGGGGUGAUUCCCCAGCGCUGGGUGUGAGUCCUUGAACAUGGAGCUCGUUGCCUUCCUUGGCCGGGAGUCUGGGCUGCGCUGCCCGCCUGUCCCGUCCCCCUGAGCCGACAGCUGGGCUCGUCUUCCCGAGCCCCAUUUCCUGGCUCGUCUCCCGGGUCACCUGCCUUUGUCGGCACCCCUGGGGGCUCGCGAGCCUCAGGGCAGGGGAGGCGCUCCUGCCUGCGCUGGGCUGAGCUCCCGGGCUCGGGGGCCUGGAUCCGGAGCCGCCCGCUGUCCAAGAGGGACGUGGGUUGCUCGACCCUCCUGCUUCACUGCCCGUGAUGGUCUCCCCUGUCUCCAGCCCAGCCUUCCUGACCCCUCGGGCAGGCUCACGGGCUUAGGAAAACGCUGUCCUCACGCUGCGAUGUCGGGCUGUCAGCCGGGUUCAGGGCUUGCUCUCCGCGCCCGCUAGCGGGAGGUGGAGCCCCCAGCUUCGACUCUGCAGGUGGUUCGUGUUCCCCACUCUGCAGACAGCCCCGGAGGCUCCUCACCGCGUGGCAGCCAGGCCCGGGGCUGCGGUGCGGGAGGGGCGAGGCGGGACGCUGCCGACGGGGCUGCCACCCCCAACUCUUCUGGGCAGAUUGCGCCCCAGGUGGCCCGGGAUGCCCCACCGCCGCCUGCCUCAGCGGACCUGUGCGGGCAGGACGAGCCCCAGCCCUGGGCCUGAGUCUCACAGGCGUCUCGCUUUCAGGGCAAUCCCCGUUCUAAGAAUCUGGCCCUUUAGGGGAGGUUUUCUCUGGGACGUUUCCAGGCAUGGCACGGACCUCAGACAGAUUCUGCACCUGGUCUCUGUCAUGGACGUGGGGGCAGACACGGGGGACAAAAACCAGGCGGUUCUAGAUCCCAGAGCUUUGGCUGCCCCUGGGCUGCAGGCCGCGUGCCCUGCUCCCACCUGCGUGCCGAGCUCCCCUGCGGACCGGCUCUGUGCAAAGUAGCGGGGGCGUCCAGACUUGCCUGGGGGGCCUGGAGCAUCCUGUCUACUUAAUAAAUGUUGAUUCCCUUUGCAGCAAAUAAAACAACCCGCA